CGGCGGCUCAUCCGGGCUCUGGGGACAGGCGGCGCGAGCGCUGCACGCCGGCUGGCGUUCGAUUCGAACCGAGAGCGGCACGCGUUGGGCUUCCAACCACGCGUUAGUCCAUAGUUCACUGAGGGCCGGCGACACGAGACCAGCACAUCCCCGCAGAAGACGUCUCGAGACGUGCGAGGGCUCUCGCGGAAGAAGGGCUCGCGGUCACCCCCGACAUAAUCACAUUCCUCAUUUCCGAAAUGAUGCUGAAUACAAUUUUCGUUAAAAAAUGUUAUGUGUGACCCGUGGGUGGCUAUAAUAAGGACACAGAAAUAUUUGAAAUAUUGACUUGAUGUGUUUGCAUACACAUUUUGUUAAAGAAAGGUGUACUAAUUGUAUUGACGUUGUCAGUUUUGUCCGUUGAACCGGAUUCAAAAUAAGAAUAAUUUAGUUGAAUUCGUAGCUUUAUGGCGUUUCUAUAUAUGCAUAGAAGUCUGUAACCUGGAGUGUAAAUCUCCAGACAGAUGCAACAAAUGUCUCAAACUAGACAUCUACGUAUUUCGGUGUUCUGCAAUUCAUUUUGAAAUUCCAUAAGAUAGUCAAAUCCACUUAAGUUGGACUCUUCUAAACCUCAACAAGAAUGUUUAAUUUUGGACAAAAUACGUUAUGCGGAGAAAGCGCAGAGUGUUUUGUAAUUGCAAAGUCGAAUAUUAAUUGUCAUUAAUUGAUAACAAUGAGCUUUUUUAUGACUAUUCCUCUCGAUGUGUAUAUUUGUGUCCGUCGUCUUUCUGAUCAAAUCUGUUCAUGUUGAAGAAUUAAAC
rnacentral:lncRNA from 1 species